GACGAACGCUGGCGGCGUGCUUAACACAUGCAAGUCGAGCGGUAAGGCCCUUUCGGGGGUACGACGAGCGGCGAACGGGUGAGUAACACGUGGGUGACCUGCCCUCCAGCUCUGGGAUAAGCCUGGGAAACCGGGUCUAAUACUGGAUAUGACUCCAUGACGCAUGUUGGUGGGGUGGAAAGCCUUGUGCGGCUGAGGAUGGGCCCGCGGCCUAUCAGCUUGUUGGUGGGGUGAGGCCUGCCAAGGCGACGACGGGUAGCCGGCCUGAGAGGGCGACCGGCCACACUGGGACUGAGACACGGCCCAGACUCCUACGGGAGGGCAGCAGUGGGGAAUCUUGCGCAAUGGGCGAAAGCCUGACGCAGCGACGCCGCGUGAGGGAUGAC
rnacentral:rRNA from 1 species